AGGAGGGGCUGCUGGUUCCAAGAUGCACCCUCUGUUGGACACUUUAAAUGACACACAGAGCAUUGAGGAAAAAAGGGAUGCAGUUGUCUGCUGCCUCAUUAACUACCUUGGUGAAAGACAAGAAGAUCUUUUCCAUGACUGCCAGGAAUGUGAGGACUACACAGACAAAACAAUGAAGGUGAUCGUGAUGCACAACAUCAUGGCUGAGGAGGAUCCAUCAGGUGUCGAUUGUGAUUGAGGGAAACCAAGUCAUGGAAGGAUGUGGAAGGCGAACAAAGGCAUGUGUACUGCUGAUGGGACUGAUAUGCCCUCAACCUUGACUAUCCAAAGCAGCUCAAGAACACAUUUGAAGCUUUUCAAAAACUCUUUUUGGAACUUGAUGGGGAAAAACUACUGAAGAAGGACCACAGCCUCAAAAACAAGCUCAUGCAAUAGACAUACAUUUCCCCUCUUGUUCCACGAGGAACUUUUGUCUGGACAGAGAGUUUUAAUGGAGUAUAGUUUUAUAUUUUUGUUCUCUUCCCUCCUCUGCUCCACACACAGACACAGAAAUAUAUGUACAGAUGGAUACACAAGUAUGUUGCAGCCUCUCUCAGCCCACUCCAUUGUUCUCUGAUUUCUCCACAUUGACAGAAAUGGAAAAGCAAUAGAAACUGGCCGGUCUGGUCAAUACCACUGACUGAAUCCUGAAGAAUUUUGAACUCACCCUCUUUCCCUCCCCAUUUGUUUGUUUCUUUUAUUCUCAUCCUGUCUCUGAGAGUGAGAGCAAGCGCAGAAACUAAAGAAUGUUGAUUUUCUGAUCUGUCUUUAUCCAGAUGUUUGAUACUGUACACACAGAAACAAUCUUGUAGAGUUUGUGUGUGGUUUUUAUGGCUUUUAAAAUAGAGUAAGGGGCCUCUGAAAGUGUUGUUUGCAUUGACCAAUUAUCCAGAAAGAACAUUUGAAGCCAUUAGCUUAGUGAGUUAUAAAACGGGUUUAUUCAUUGAAAUGUUGUGUGAAGCUGUGUACUGCACUUUAUUCAUUUUUGGAUAAUUUAGUGUAUUGCUGCAUAUAAACAAGGCAGUUCAGUUAUUUGUUGUGUAUAAAUACACCUGCAGAUUGCAGAUUUGCUCAGUCACUGUUGUGUGAGGCUGAAGAAACACAAGUAAGAGUUUAGAUUCAAGAAAAUCUUCAUGUGAUUGGACAUCCCUUGCACCUCUGCUCUGAUCACCUCACUUCUCCUUUUCUCUGAUCUACUCCUUUAUUAUUGAGCAGUCUGGAUGUCCUAAAACAAGGAUAUGUUUUAUUGCCCAACAUUACUGAAACAGCGUUUGAAGUUGUUAUAUUAUAACACAGGUUCAUUAUUUGAAAUGUUGUGUGACACUGUUGUGCUGCAGUUUAUUCUGUGUUUUUGUUUUUGAUGACUUUAUGUAUUAAAAACAUUGAGAAGGUGUAUGAUUUGAAUGUCUUUUUUGGGGGUACAUCUUACCUUCUCUGAAUAAGUAAUGGUUAUUAACUGAUUUUAAUUAACUUUGAUUUGUAAUUAUCAGGUAUUACCUACUAGCAAACAAGAAAUAGUUUUACCUAAUUUAACUGAGUAAGUAGCUGUUGAAUAUAUACAUAAAUAUGAGGUAAAUUUUACCCAAUUUCUUUAAGUAUUUCAUAUAUUUUUUGUUCAGUUAAUUUAUACUCAAUAUAUGGAAUUGAAUCUACCCCAACAGAGUAGAUGCAAAUUGUUACCUCACAUUUAUUAGGUAAAUUCUAUAGGUUACUUUUUUCAGUG